UAAAUCUGACAACACAUUCUUUACGGUAUCUGAAAUUUCGUCCAGUGAGACUUCUAUACCCAGUAAACAAGCAAUGGGUACUAGCUAAGCCCGGCCGCGGUAGGUUUGGGGUGCCUCAGGUGAGUCAGCAUUUGGAAAAAUGCUCAUGCGAAUGAGCCCACAUCACUGAAUCCCCUUGAAUACGGCUGGAUGGAGAUGGAAAACCGUUACGUAUUUAAGUGGUUCGAAGGAGACCAACUUCCUUGCUUUGUCAGCGACUUGAUUCUAAAUCCUGAAGAAUCUGACUUGGAGGAUGAAGAUGACUUGUCACUUUCUGAAGACGAUUCCGAAGAUGAAAAUUAAUUAUAAAAUAUUUCAUGAUUAUUUCAUUGUUAUAAAUUAUUUCCAAAAAUAAAUAUAUUCUGAUAUGAAUAAUGAA
rnacentral:misc_RNA from 1 species